CAUGCUGGUGUACAGCAGCCCUAGAACAAGACCAGUGCUGCACCCUGAUGAAUGAAGAUCCGGUUGGCCUUUCUGCUCUGUCGUGAGCGUAGAGGAAAUGGGAGACAUGGUUGGCUCUAGAUUCACCGGACUGGAGGACAUGACCGGUAGGUGCUUCGGAUCAAGUGCAGAUUGCAUCACUGAAGCGGAGAGAAACAAAGCAUACAAGAGUUUCAGAAUUCAGAGAUACGCAGUGUAUGAGAAACGGAUGGGACGGACAGUCUCAAGUUCUGAACUCUGAACGGCUCGCUACGGCCUGCACGGCCGCACGGGUGUGCAGGUGACUAAAGUCAGGUCCGUCCGUUCCUAGUUCGGAGGCGGCGGCUGUCCCUGUCCGCAUCUCGAUUUCACGGCCAACUCUCGCCAUCCCAGACCAAAACGCGCGGCGCUGCCCCCGCUCUGUUUUCUCCGACGCCCAUCCGCUGGGACCAACUCCACGGAGAAGAGAAAGGGAAGCGUUUGGGGAGGGAGCGCUGCUCGGGGCUUUCAGGCCCUCAUCCGUCGCCGUCAGAAAUCAGUCUGUGUGCUGCUGCAGAAGGAAGUGAAACUGCGAGUUUUGCCUCAGUAGUGGCGGCGGUUCCACAUCUAUUGGGUCGAUGUCAAGCAUCAGAUGUGCUAUAUCGUCCAAGGAUAUAGAUGUAUUUCACGCAUCCAGGGAGGGGAACGCGUUUAGGAUUGCAUACACAUCAAACAAUGUGAAGUUAGCAGAUAAGCACUUACCUCUUGAGAUAGACCUUGUGCACCAUAUUUGUCGUCCCAGAACAUUGUUGCUAUGCGAUAUAUUUGAGUUAUGCUCAAAAUCUGCAGAAAACAUGCAAAAUUUUCAUACUUACAGCUUGCAAAAUUAAUCCAAGUGUUUGUAUUAUAAGAUUUCUUGUUUACAACUUACAGGGCAAAGCUCAUUCGUGAUUUCCUCCAGGGUUUUGUGUGACUUCUGAUGCAGAACCUGUAAUAUGAAUUCAUUUAAUGAGUAGAGUAGUAGACAGAUGAAACUACGAUGUCUGUGAAUAACUGCAUGGUUUCAGGCAUACCAGGGACCCAACUGCCUGCCUUAUGUGUUGCAGUUCAUCCCAAGAUGCCCCUGCAUACUGCAUUACAGCGAUAGAUUAGCUCUCUCUUGCUGAUUACCAUUAUUGUCUUGCUGAAAUUACCCAAUAAAAAAGGGGGAAAUCUUCACCUCUUCAGUUGUUCUAGAGCACCAUUGCUCCAGUUCUUGUAAGCCAGCCUUUAAGAAUUCCCCAUUGCUAAAUGAGCAGCAUUCCCGACGAAGUAGCAAACUAAACAAAAAGGUAGAGGUUUCAUACAGUCCAGAAUCAACCAUGUAAAGUAUAUACCAAAGAUGUAUUGGUGUCUUAUAUGAGCUUGUGCAGUCAACUAUUAAAGAAUAGUUAAGGGUAUAGUAUAUAGUAAUACCUAUUGAAGAGUUGCACAUUCAAGUAUGCAUAUACUUGACUAAAUGUUUUCUUUAUUAUCAUCGGAGGUACCUACAAAAUUAAAAUUGAAUUGAGUAAUGCAUUUCUGUACUUCCCUGACUGUAAGGUGGCUGAAAUAUUAAGAUUGGACUCACAUGGUUAUUUUUCAUUGUUUCCAGUGUAUUAUCCAGGCACUUAACUAUGCUUUGCCAAUGUACACUUGAUGCUUGCCUUGAUAGUGCAUUAGAGUGUAUACUUUUUAGUGAACCACGAGAUGGUCUCACACGAUUAGCUCUUGGAGCCUAUGAAGGUCAAUAAGUGUUAGAAAACUGUAUUGCCCUGCGGCCUGGUCACGAAAAUGACUUAUUUGUUGUACCUGUAUGCAUAGAGUCAAGAAUGGGCUUAUUUCUUUCUUCAGGUUAUCUCUAAUUAUCCCAUAUAUCUUCUCAACGUAUGCUGUUAACUGUUGCUUGAACCGAAGUGCUGGAUACUUUGCUUCUACCAUUGAUGCAGUGUCAGGCCUUCCUACCAUUCCACCAUAUCCACUAGUUAUGCCUAAUCCUGAUGAUGAUGUCCGGGCACUCUGAAAAUGGAAUAUUCAGAAUGUAAGCUCAUGUUUACAAUGUGAAUAUCAGUCCAUGGUACUUGAUGAAAGUUGGCUACUGAAAUCUUGACGUCUCAGAAAAAAAAUACAUAGGAAACAACACAUUAUAUCUCUAAAAGAGCAUUAGGGUUCGAACUGUGGCCUUAACCAUCUCAGCAUUGUGCUCUACGCCUCUACCAGUCUACCAAUGGCCUGUAUUAUGGGGACCCUGGCAAACUUGAUGUUGCAAUCUCAGAUAAAAACCUUUAUUCAUGCAAAACAGAAGUCUGGAUGGAGAACUUACCAGCACCAUUCUACUAAACAGGCUGCCUGUUGCAGUCCGGCUGCGAUUCGAUCCUUUACUCGAUGAACUACUAGCUUUGAGGGUAUUUUGUAAUAAGUAGAGGAGAGUUGAUGUAGUUGACAACCAAUAAGCUAGCUCUCCAGAACUUUCAGCACCCUAUAAAUUAAAUUCAGGUGAUGAGUUUCUCCACAACUUGCUCGCCAGCAUUGGUGGUUCUUACACCACGGAAAAGGGAAAGUGGUCUGAGUAUUUAUGGGAGUAACAACCUCAACUGAUGACCUAAUUGUUUGGAUGAUUCGAUCAAAUAUGUUAGUCUUCUCUGCUUCAAAUGAACGCCAGUGCAGGAGUGAUUUGUAGACAAUGCAUGCUGCAGCUGAUUUUUUGUCAUCAAAUCUCCUGUCUUCUACCAGACUUUUAAUCAGGGCAUCAUGAUUUUCCUGUGUAAGUGUGAAGGAAGAACAAUUGGCGAGACAUCAGUAUUCACUACACAUCAUGACUGAGAUUAAUAUUUUCUAAGAUAAUAAAGCAGUGAACAUACUUGUUGUCGAUCCGUCAGUGAUUUUUGUUUGCUUAGAUUCUUUACAGGAGGAACAACCACAUGCUCCUGCAUGCAGAGCAUAUGUACCCAUGUCAAUAAGAUAUCUGAAUGAGAUUAUGCAUUAUAUUAUAAUAUGUUUGCCAGGUAAAACUUAGCACAUACAUUGACUAUUUUAGCUUCUUCAAGCUGGUGUCCAUUGUCAAUUUCCUUAUGAAUGAGGUUCUGACAUAAAAUUCAGCGCAAAUCUUUUAGUUAUCAAGUAGCAAUAAAAGUUCCAAAGUAGUGUUUUCCUAAAGUUAGCUUCAAGGGGAUUUACCUCCAUUACUGAUGUCUGAUUCAUUGCAGGGGUGACCACGGCCUGAACAGCAAGCGCCGAAUUACUGUGGAGCAACUGGAUCUCCGACUCCAAGAUGGCAAUCUUGCUUUCCAGUCUAAACAGACCAUUUUUUAACUUGUGAGGCUCUCAUAGGAUGUGAAUCUCCAGAAAAAAAAGGGUGCGAAUGAAGUGUCCACAACUGGCACUUCUACUAUCUUUGGUGGUGCCUGUUCAAUUGCUAACUUCGCGGCUUCUUUCUCCUUUACCACUGCUGCAUGGGCUUCCUCAAUCUUUUCUUGCAUUUCUUGCAAAGCAGAUUGCAACUUUCCAAUUUCUUGGCCCUUGGCUUCUUCAAGGUGAAUUACCCUCAAACGCUUUUCAACAUCUAACCGCCAUCGCGAACCUGGAUAAUUAUGGAAGCCUUGGUCUCUCUUCGGAACCUGUGUUCAUUGCGAGCUGCCAUUGCCCGUAGUCCUGUCUGUAUUACUAUAGCUGAUUCAUAUACUUGACGGUACACUUUUCUGGCAGAAUGGCUACGUGCAUGCUUUUGUAUCCUAAUUGAAGCAGCAUCUCUUCUCAUAUACUCAAAAAGCUUUCUAGCUAGUCGUGCUGCAGGAUUUGAUUACAUUAUAUGUCAGUUUCAGGUAAGACCAGCUUUACUGGCCUUAAGGGCACAAAGUGCUCAAAGUAGUGAAGAAAUACCUCUCCAGAACUUCUGAGAUUGAACUGAGGCUUUUCGUAAGUUGACAAAUUCCUUUCGCAUAAGAUGUGUCUUUAUACGCCUCUGGAUUAGUCGCGCAGCAUUGGCCAAUACUUCUGCUCUUCGAGCAUCCAACUCUGCCAUCUGACCAGCUCUUAAGAAUACCUUUGUUUUCCCUAUCUGAUAUAAAGAAGGUCACAAGUGAGGUCAUACAAAAAAUAUAUGUUGUAUAAGAUUGUUUUCUCUCCCGUAUUCACCCAUUGACAUAGGCUACCUGAUAUCCUUUCAAACCCAUUCUAUCACAUAUUGCUGCACAGGCGGCCUUCUCAUCAGAGCUGAAAAAGAAUUGAACUCAGUUAAACCUUCUUCAGAAAAAUCAGAGUAUAUUUGAUUGGCAUAAUUCACCAAGAGUUUCACCCCUAAGUAUAUCGUCUAGUUAGAACCCAGCUAGAGCAUUCAUACCUGUCCACAAGCUCUGGUGCAAGCAUUCCAAACCGAUCAAUGAACUCAUCAAAUGUCCUCUUUGUUGGAUAGCCAGCACAGCUGAUCCUGAUUGCUUCCAGAACACCCUGUACCAUGACAAUGUGCAAAUGUCGAACCAAUCAAGACACAAAACAUGAAAUCAUGGUUGCAGAGUAAACAUAGUAGAACAAAUUCCACGUACAUACCCCACAUCUCAAUUGAUUCAAGACGUUGAAAUUCUCAAAGAUGCCUGGUUUCAGUACAGUAUUAGGCUUCACACAUCUAAUGUAGUGAGGUUCUGUUGUACUCAGUGUUUCCAUGAGGGAUUGAAGUUGUUGCUGCAUAUAUUACAGUUAAAAGGUUACUAGCCAUUCAAAAGACAAACAUAGAGAUCUAGCUCCAAUAUGACACACCUUAAAGCGAGCACCGAUUGAAGAGAAUUUGGACUGUUUAGAAGUCUCCUCAGGUAAUGGAGGAAAGAGAUUUGCAACAAAAGGGCACCUUGAAGAAUUUAGUAGAGCUUGGUGUUCAGCUACCACAUAGUCUUUGUUUUUAUCAAGGAACUGAUCUGCUUGAUAUGUGACCUGUUAGUUGAACAGCUUGUUAAAACUCAUAGUUGGUAGAUUGUAUAUUUCAUAUCGUAACUGAAUGGUUGCUUACAUCUCCUGCGUAGUGGUUGAUUGUAAAGGCGGUGCGAGCAAGUUUGGGCUUGCUGAAGCGCUUAUGUGCCUUGUAUGUUUGGUACAUCUUUUGGGCAAAUGUUUCAUGCGUGGACUUUGGAAACAUGCUGCAUGAACAACAUAUGCCACAUCCUUAUAUUUUUCCUUCAAAUUGCAUGCUAUGGAAUAUUUUCACUAGGAAAACUAUCCUAUGUUAAUUUUUUUAUGGCCAUAUCCUAUGUUAAUAUUUGGUGACAACAAAAUACAUUGAAGAAUGCUUUUAGGAUUAUGUCAGUUGCACAUGAGGCUACAUAGACAGUUUCUCAGAUUAAUAUUCUCUAAAUUCCAUUAGAAAUAACUUCUGUAGGGUGAAAAGACCACAACACAAAUCAUACCAUGCCUCAUCCAGAAGAGCAAUUAUUCCUCCAGGUUUCUGCAUGCAAUGUUCAAGGGUUAUUGAUCAUUUAAUAUUUAACUCUUUUAUAGAAGUAGUACAUAUACUACUUCUGGUAUGUUCCCAGAAAUUACCUUCUCAAUCAGGUCCAGCACAUCCUGAUUGUCUACAAAUUCAACAUAGCUCCAGUCUAUUUCCUCCCUUGUGUAUUCCUCUUGCUCCAUCUUAAACACAUGCUGCAAAAGGAACUCGCGUUAGAUAUAUCCGUACACAUCGGCUAUUUAUUAAUUAUUCUGUUAGUAUCUUCAAAUCUUGUCUAACCUGGUUGAAGUGCUGCUGCAACUUCUCGUUUGUCAAAUUGAUACAUAGCUGCUCAAAACUGUCAGGUGAGUAGAAUUUGUAUCGUGUUUCAGAUUUUUCAGGUACUCAAAACUAGUAUGAAGCUAAAAAACAAUCCAAAUUCAUACUUGCAGUGGAACCAAACAGUACUAAACUACUAACAGCAAACCUGUUAAUCUUGAAGCUCUCGAAUCCAUAGAUAUCAAGCACACCUAUUAUAUUGGUCGCGUCUGGAUCCUGACCAAUUGAGUUAUUGAUCUUGUCUACAAUCCUGUCAGCCAAAAUAAGAAAAUCGCCUAGUUGUUUACUCCUAGAUAAUUAGAUGACCUCCAGUACAGGUGAUGCUGGUACAAGUCUGAAGUGGUAACUGAACAUUCAGACCGCAUCUUUCAGUCUGUAGCCUUUACAUAUAGCUGGCAGCUAACACUAGUAGUACUUGAUAUUUUUCUUCUUUUUAAUGCAUUCAUGAACAUUCUUACCAGUCAAACAAUCUUGAAUAUACCGUCUUUGCUAAGGCAUCACGGCUUAAUGCAGCAGAAUCUGGAUCGAGGGGUUUCGUGAUAUUUCCAUCAGGUGUUACAAUGACUCGCUGGCAAAGGGAGUCUUCAAGGGCCUUCUCGUCACACCUGACAACAACUUUAUGCUUAGCAUACCAGAAAGAUAUGGACCCGAAAAGAAAAUAAAGAUAUUGGACUUACAUAAGCAGUUCUGCGACUGUUUUCAGGUGAUGGACUGAUUUAUCAUCUCUCAACUUGGAUGAAUCAAUUUCCUUCCCUUUGGAGAAGUCAAUAUUCCCUAAGUGAAGGAUUGCCGCUACUACUCUGAAGAUUGCAUCCUUGAGCAGUGAAAAGGAUAAAUUAUUUCUCGCAUCAGAAUGUAUUUUCUAUGCUAGACAAUUCUUCUUAUAUGGAGUACCUGUUCAUCUUGAUCAAUGCCAACAAUAUCCAUUGCAUUUCUGGUUUC